GAUGAACGCUGGCGGCGUGCCUAAUACAUGCAAGUCGAGCGAACAGACGAGGAGCUUGCUCCUCUGACGUUAGCGGCGGACGGGUGAGUAACACGUGGAUAACCUACCUAUAAGACUGGGAUAACUUCGGGAAACCGGAGCUAAUACCGGAUAAUAUAUUGAACCGCAUGGUUCAAUAGUGAAAGACGGUUUUGCUGUCACUUAUAGAUGGAUCCGCGCCGCAUUAGCUAGUUGGUAAGGUAACGGCUUACCAAGGCGACGAUGCGUAGCCGACCUGAGAGGGUGAUCGGCCACACUGGAACUGAGACACGGUCCAGACUCCUACGGGAGGCAGCAGUAGGGAAUCUUCCGCAAUGGGCGAAAGCCCGACGGAGCAACGCCGCGUGAGUGAUGAAGGUCUUCGGAUCGUAAAACUCUGUUAUUAGGGAAGAACAAAUGUGUAAGUAACUAUGCACGUCUUGACGGUACCUAAUCAGAAAGCCACGGCUAACUACGUG
rnacentral:rRNA from 1 species